rnacentral:rRNA from 1 species
AUACGGAGGGUGCAAGCGUUACUCGGAAUCACUGGGCGUAAAGCGCGCGCAGGCGGCUAUUUAAGUUGGGUGUGAAAGCCUAUGGCUCAACCAUAGAACUGCAUCCAAAACUAUUUAGCUAGAGUGUGGGAGAGGAAGAUGGAAUUAGUUGUGUAGGGGUAAAAUCCGUAGAGAUAACUAGGAAUACCAAAAGCGAAGGCAAUCUUCUGGAACACUACUGACGCUGAGGCGCGAAAGCGUGGGGAGCAAACAGGAUUAGAUACCCUUGUAGUCC